GGGCCCGCUCGCAGGUGGUUCUGAGCCAGUCGGGGCCAGCGCUGAAGAAGCCCGGAGAGUCCCAUACACUGCAAUGUGCCACCAGUGGGUUCACUCUUAGCAGCACAUGGAUGGAGUGGGUCAGACAGGUGCCAGGAAAGGGGCUGGAGUGGCUGGCUCAGUACUACGAUGAGGCGAACACCAAGUCCUACGCCUCCUCCGUCCAGGGCCGAUUCACAGCCUCCAAGGACAGCACCAACUUCUACCUGCAAAUGACCAGCCUGAGAGCAGAGGACACCGCCGUGUAUUACUGUGCGAGAUACACAGUGAGGGGAAGUGAAUCUGAGCUCAGACAAAAACCUUCCUGGCAGCUGCGGAAGAAGUUCUCUGCCUGGGGCGCUAACGAGCCGUAG